UUCCAGCGCGGAGGAGAAGAUGAAGCCUGCCACAAGAAAAUCAUCGAUUCCCCAAGAUAUAAUAUUUCAAGUAUUUUCGUGGCUUCCUAUCAAGUCUCUUAUGCGUUUCAGGUUGAAUUAACAGAAAUAAAAGGCAAAUUAGCAAUCCUUAAUUGCGAGAAGAAAUGGUAUUAUGGGGAAGAAGAUAUGAUUAUGUGGAUUUUAGGGAAGACAGGAAAAGAAGAAUGGGAGAAGCAUAUCUUUACAAUGGAAAGGUCCAGACUCUGAACUGUCAAAAUCAUUUAUUUCCGAAAUAAUUCGCAGUUGUUGUGAUGGGGAGAUUUUAUUUCCCAUGGCGAUCAAGUCAUCUGUUUGUGUUAUGAUGUAACAAAAAAGAAUUGGCGACAUUUUGAAAUCCAAGGGCUUCCAACAAAUAGUUUGAUCCGUGGCA